ACGUAGGAUCCAAGCGUUAUCCGGAUUUACUGGGUUUAAAGGGUGCGUAGGCGGGCAUAUAAGUCAGUGGUGAAAUUUUAUGGCUUAACUAUAAAAUUGCCGUUGAUACUGUAUGUCUUGAAUACAGAUGAAGUUGGCGGAAUGCGACAAGUAGCGGUGAAAUGCUUAGAUAUGUCGCAGAACACCGAUAGCGAAGGCAGCUGGCUAAACUGGCAUUGACGCUGAAGCACGAAAGCGUGGGGAUCAAACAG
rnacentral:rRNA from 1 species